GUGCACUCCCUUAUCCACUAAACAGCAACUUCGGUUGACAGGCUGACAGAUUUUAUUAGUUUUCUUUAAAAACACCUAAUCUAGGCAAAACUAAUGGGGGUUUAGUUACAAUUAAUGAUCAUACAUUGCAUAAGCCUGCCACAACAUCAAUGUACCCCAUCUUUGGCAGGUCCUACUCUAACAGCCUAAUGUUUGCUUCAUGAGCUACUUACUUAGGGAAAAAAAUUCCAUCUGGAGUUCUCUGCAGUACAAGGCUAAAUAGGGCCCAGGGAUGAGGCACCUGCGACAGGGAGGG